rnacentral:rRNA from 1 species
UGUUGCUUGCAAGGGCGUAUGGUGGAUGCCUAGGCUCUCAGAGGCGAAGAAGGACGUGAUAAGCUGCGAAAAGCUCCGUUUAGGUGCAAAUAACCUUUGAUGCGGAGAUUUCCGAAUGGGAUAACCCAAUAUGUUGAAGACAUAUUAUACCGUAAGGUAGGCAAACGCAGGGAACUGAAACAUCUAAGUACCUGCAGGAGAAGAAAACAAAAGUGAUUCCCCCAGUAGCGGCGAGCGACCGGGGAUAAGCCCAAACCGUUAUUGUUUCGGCAGUAGCGGGGUAGUAGGACUGCGACAUUGAUGAAAUAAAUGAAAUGGAACACUUUGGAAAAUGUGAUCACAGAGGGUGAUAAUCCCGUACAUGCAAGUUUAUGAAUCAUAGCAGUAUCCUGAGUAAGUCGGGACACGUGUAAUCCUGACCGAAUCCGCCGGGACCAUCCGGCAAGGCUAAAUACUCCUGAGAGACCGAUAGUGAACCAGUACCGUGAGGGAAAGGUGAAAAGCACUUCGAACAGAAGAGUGAAAUAGUCCCUGAACCCAUACGCCUACAAGCAGUCGGAGCCGCUUCGUGCGGUGACGGCGUGCCUUUUGCAUAAUGAGCCUACGAGUUACUCAUCACCAGCGAGGUUAAGUACUUCAGGUACGUAAGCCGAAGCGAAAGCGAGUCUGAAUAGGGCGUCAAGUUGGUGGUGGUAGACGCGAAACCUUAGUGAUCUACCCAUGGGCAGGGUGAAGGUUUGGUAACACAAACUGGAGGCCCGAACCGGUAAACGUUGAAAAGUUUUCGGAUGACCUGUGGGUAGGGGUGAAAGGCCAAUCAAACUGGGAAAUAGCUCGUACUCUCCGAAAUGCAUUUAGGUGCAGCCUCUGUUGUUUUGUUCUAGAGGUAGAGCUACUGAUUGGAUGCGAGGGCUUCACCGCCUAUCAAAUCCGGCCAAACUCCGAAUGCUAGAACAUGAAGACAGGGAGUGAGCCAGCGGGUGCUAAGGUCCGUUGACGAAAGAGGGAGAACUCAGACCAUCAGCUAAGGUCCCCAAUUAUAUGCUAAGUUGGAAUUAAAACGGGGUGGGACUGCUUAGACAGCUAGGAUGUUGGCUUGGAAGCAGCCAUUCAUUUAAAGAGUGCGUAACAGCUCACUAGUCGAGCGGUCCUGCAUGGAUAAUACGCGGGCAUAAGCAUAUAACCGAAGCUAUGGGAUUGUAGAUGAUACAAUCGGUAGGAGAGCAUUCCAUUCAGCAUAGAAGCAGUAUCGUGAGGUAUUGUGGAGCGGAUGGAAAAGCAAAUGUAGGCAUAAGUAACGAUAAUGCGGGUGAGAACCCCGCACGCCGAAAGAUCAAGGAUUCCCCGGCAAUGUCAAUCAUCCGGGGGUAAGUCGGAUCCUAAGGGUAAGCCGAGUGGCGAUCCCGAUGGCAAACAGGUUAAUAUUCCUGUACUGAUCAUAACUGCGAUGCAGCGACGCAGAGGUGACACUGCUGCGUACUGACGGAAUAGUACGUUGAAACCCGUAUUCUUUGAUACCGGUAGUGAAGCACGCCGGUAGAGAUGAAAGGUGAUAGUACCGCAAUGCUUCGGUUGCGCGGAUAACGCAGGUAAGCUGACUGCCAAGAAAACCUGCUAAGCUUCAGGUAAUGAUCAUCCGUACUGUAAACGGACACACGUGAUCAGGUAGAAAAUACUAAGGCGCUCGAGAGAUUCAUGGUUAAGGAACUAGGCAAAAUGGUCCUGUAACUUCGGGAUAAAGGACGCUCUUGUGAAAGAGCCGCAGAUAAUAGGCCCAGGCGACUGUUUACCAAAAACACAUGGCUAUGCUAAUUCGCAAGAAGAUGUAUAUGGCCUGACACCUGCCCGGUGCCGGAAGGUUAAGAGGAGAGCUCAGAGGCAACUCGAAGGUUUGAAUUGAAGCCCCGGUAAACGGCGGCCGUAACUAUAACGGUCCUAAGGUAGCGAAAUUCCUUGUCGGGU